GAUGAACGCUGGCGGCGUGCCUAAUACAUGCAAGUCGAGCGAACGGACGAGAAGCUUGCUUCUUUGAUGUUAGCGGCGGACGGGUGAGUAACACGUGGAUAACCUACCUAUAAGACUGGGAUAACUUCGGGAAACCGGAGCUAAUACCGGAUAAUAUUUUGAACCGCAUGGUUCAAAAGUGAAAGACGGUCUUGCUGUCACUUAUAGAUGGAUCCGCGCUGCAUUAGCUAGUUGGUAAGGUAACGGCUUACCAAGGCAAUGAUGCAUAGCCGACCUGAGAGGGUGAUCGGCCACACUGGAACUGAGACACGGUCCAGACUCCUACGGGAGGCAGCAGUAGGGAAUCUUCCGCAAUGGGCGAAAGCCUGACGGAGCAACGCCGCGUGAGUGAUGAAGGUCUUCGGAUCGUAAAACUCUGUUAUUAGGGAAGAACAUAUGUGUAAGUAACUGUGCACAUCUUGACGGUACCUAAUCAGAAAGCCACGGCUAACUACGUGCCAGCAGCCGCGGUAAUACGUAGGUGGCAAGCGUUAUCCGGAAUUAUUGGGCGUAAAGCGCGCGUAGGCGGUUUUUUAAGUCUGAUGUGAAAGCCCACGGCUCAACCGUGGAGGGUCAUUGGAAACUGGAAAACUUGAGUGCAGAAGAGGAAAGUGGAAUUCCAUGUGUAGCGGUGAAAUGCGCAGAGAUAUGGAGGAACACCAGUGGCGAAGGCGACUUUCUGGUCUGUAACUGACGCUGAUGUGCGAAAGCGUGGGGAUCAAACAGGAUUAGAUACCCUGGUAGUCCACGCCGUAAACGAUGAGUGCUAAGUGUUAGGGGGUUUCCGCCCCUUAGUGCUGCAGCUAACGCAUUAAGCACUCCGCCUGGGGAGUACGACCGCAAGGUUGAAACUCAAAGGAAUUGACGGGGACCCGCACAAGCGGUGGAGCAUGUGGUUUAAUUCGAAGCAACGCGAAGAACCUUACCAAAUCUUGACAUCCUUUGACAACUCUAGAGAUAGAGCCUUCCCCUUCGGGGGACAAAGUGACAGGUGGUGCAUGGUUGUCGUCAGCUCGUGUCGUGAGAUGUUGGGUUAAGUCCCGCAACGAGCGCAACCCUUAAGCUUAGUUGCCAUCAUUAAGUUGGGCACUCUAAGUUGACUGCCGGUGACAAACCGGAGGAAGGUGGGGAUGACGUCAAAUCAUCAUGCCCCUUAUGAUUUGGGCUACACACGUGCUACAAUGGACAAUACAAAGGGCAGCGAAACCGCGAGGUCAAGCAAAUCCCAUAAAGUUGUUCUCAGUUCGGAUUGUAGUCUGCAACUCGACUACAUGAAGCUGGAAUCGCUAGUAAUCGUAGAUCAGCAUGCUACGGUGAAUACGUUCCCGGGUCU
rnacentral:rRNA from 1 species